GUAGGUGGCAAGCGUUGUCCGGAAUUAUUGGGCGUAAAGCGCGCGCAGGCGGUUCUUUAAGUCUGAUGUGAAAGCCCACGGCUCAACCGUGGAGGGUCAUUGGAAACUGGAGAACUUGAGUACAGAAGAGGAAAGCGGAAUUCCACGUGUAGCGGUGAAAUGCGUAGAGAUGUGGAGGAACACCAGUGGUGAAGGCGGCUUUCUGGUCUGUAACUGACGCUGAGGCGCGAAAGCGUGGGGAGCAAACAGGAUUAGAUACCCUGGUAGUCCGCGCCGUAAACGAUGAGUGCUAAGUGUUAGGGGGGUUUUCCGCCCCCCUUAGUGCUGCAGCUAACGCAUUAAGCACUCCGCCUGGGAGUACGGCCGCAAGGCUG
rnacentral:rRNA from 1 species